GAGGGUAGAGCUCAGUGGUAGAGUUCAUGCUUAGCAUGCAUGAAGUCCUGGGUUCAAUCCCCAGUACCCCCA
rnacentral:tRNA from 1 species